UUUUGUACAGCACCUAAACACAGUUAAACCAGGUCAUGAGUUCAAAAAAGACCCAAAAAUGAAAAGAAAUGAUCCACAGAUCGAGAGAAAAGAGGACCGGCAACAUGCAUUUCCUCAGAACCAGAGCUACUCUUCUGACCAGAUGCAUUAAAAACCGCUCAGCAUUUCAAAUAGGACCGAAGGCAGAAUUCUCACCUUCCUCUGCAGAGUAGAUGGUGGUGACGGGUCCGAACGGACCUUCUCCCUUGUUGUUGUACACGCCCACCUUGACGUGAAAAGGUGAAAAAGGCUGGAUGCUUUCAUUUUUGAAGACAUAUUUGGAGGUUUCUGCGGAGGGCACGGCAGCCUGCAUCCAGCCUGUGGCACCGUGAGGUCGGAAAGC